GAGACAGGAGGAGUUAGUCCUGCUGCAAACCACGGGGGACACUUCGGGAUGCCUCAGAGAAAACAAAUCUCAGUUUUUACGCCUCGUUACUUCCUGUGUUUCUCCACGAGGACCAUGGAAGGGUAGCAGCCUUUUUGACAGGUGAAUUUUCCACCCGCUUGGCUCUUGCACUUCCCGUGAGGACCACAAACAUUGGAAGAGAUAUAGCGAACCCCUUCGGGCGUGCUGUUGGAAGCCACUGCCACGGUGCAGCUGUCAAUUACUGCAGAAAAGCAGAGACAGCAUGAGAACUACCCAUGCAACCUGAUUCCUUAAGAACAACAUUUUCACUUCCAGCCAUGGAUGUUUAGAAGACACUCAUGCCAUUGAAUCAUUUAGGUUGGAAAAGACCUUUAUGAUCAUCGAGUGAAACCAUAAACAUAUGACUGCAAAUAUGUUUGCUGCCUUAAAAUAACACUGGACUCUGCCAACUGUGCAUAAAACAAUCACAGCAUCUUAUCUGAUGAUUGAUGGAACACAUCCAUGGCCUGGAAUAAAUGCAUCACUCUAUUUGCUA